AAGUCGUAACAAGGUCUCCGUUGGUGAACCAGCGGAGGGGAUCAUUACCGAGUUUACAACUCCCAAACCCCUGUGAACAUACCUUAAUGUUGCCUCGGCGGAUCAGCCCGCGCCCCGUAAAACGGGACGGCCCGCCAGAGGACCCAAACUCUAAUGUUUCUUAUUGUAACUUCUGAGUAAAACAAACAAAUAAAUCAAAACUUUCAACAACGGAUCUCUUGGUUCUGGCAUCGAUGAAGAACGCAGCAAAAUGCGAUAAGUAAUGUGAAUUGCAGAAUUCAGUGAAUCAUCGAAUCUUUGAACGCACAUUGCGCCCGCUGGUAUUCCGGCGGGCAUGCCUGUUCGAGCGUCAUUUCAACCCUCAAGCCCUCGGGUUUGGUGUUGGGGAUCGGCUCUGCCUUCUGGCGGUGCCGCCCCCGAAAUACAUUGGCGGUCUCGCUGCAGCCUCCAUUGCGUAGUAGCUAACACCUCGCAACUGGAACGCGGCGCGGCCAUGCCGUAAAACCCCAACUUCUGAAUGUUGACCUCGGAUCAGGUAGGAAUACCCGCUGAACUUAA
rnacentral:misc_RNA from 1 species